rnacentral:lncRNA from 1 species
AAUGAAUGCAGUCAUCAAGUUUAAUUGGUUUUACAUUGUAGUCCCCCCUCUCCAAGGUUUUCUUCCUUUGAAAUUUGUUCCUAUGUUUAUAGUCUGUAAUCUGAAUGAUACAGGGGUUCCUCUAGACUAUCUCUUGAGUCACCAUCCAUUACGCCACCAUCAUGAAGGGUAACUUCUAUAUUCCUGACAAGAACACUUAAUGCGACAGAUGAAGUAGUACAACAAACUCGUUCAGGUGAUAAACAGUAGCAGGCCUCUUUUCCUUUUCCGAUCCGCAGUAAAAAGUAAAAACUGUAGAUAAUUGGAAAAAGUGUGGUGAAAGUCUUCACCAUUUGGUGACUUUUCAACUGGGAAAGCUGGUAAAGGAAACAAAGAGUGCCUGUUGAAUUGUCGUCAACUCUUUUGUUC